GGGCCCUUGGUCUAGUGGCUAUGACAUCACCUUGACUCGGUGAGGAUCCCCGGUUCAAGUCCGGGAGGGCCCA
rnacentral:tRNA from 1 species